rnacentral:rRNA from 1 species
UUGGAGGGCAAGUCUGGUGCCAGCAGCCGCGGUAAUUCCAGCUCCAAUAGCGUAUAUUAAAGUUGUUGCAGUUAAAAAGCUCGUAGUUGGAUUUCUGAGAUUAACUAUCGGUCCGUAGCAUUUUUGUUAUGUGUACUGUUUUUGCUUAAUCUCAUCCUUGUAGUAAUUGCAUCUGGCAUUUGGUUGUCGGGUGUAGGAGCUGCAUCGUUUACUGUGAAAAAAUUAGAGUGUUUAAAGCAGGCUUAUGCCGUGAAUACAUUAGCAUGGAAUGAUAUUAUAGGACUUUGGUACUAUUUUAUUGGUUUGCAUAUCAAAGUAAUGAUUAAUAGGGAUAGUUGGGGGUAUUCAUAUUUAAUUGUCAGAGGUGAAAUUCUUGGGUUGUCGCAAGACUAACUACUGCGAAAGCAUUAAAUAAAGAUGUUUUCAUUAAUCAGUGAACGAAAGUUAGGGGAUCGAAGACGAUCAGAUACCGUCGCAGUCUUAACCAUAAACUAUGCCGACUAGGGAUCGGGCGAUGUUAUCUUUUUGACUCGUUCGGCGCCUUACGGGAAAC